AUGAACGCUGGCGGCGUGCCUAAUCCCUGCCAGUCGAGCGAACAGACGAGGAGCUUGCUCCUCUGACGUUAGCGGCGAACGGGUGAGUAACACGUGGAUAACCUACCUAUAAGACUGGGAUAACUUCGGGAAACCGGAGCUAAUACCGGAUAAUAUAUUGAACCGCAUGGUUCAAUAGUGAAAGACGGUUUUGCUGUCACUUAUAGAUGGAUCCGCGCCGCAUUAGCUAGUUGGUAAGGUAACGGCUUACCAAGGCAACGAUGCGUAGCCGACCUGAGAGGGUGAUCGGCCACACUGGAACUGAGACACGGUCCAGACUCCUACGGGAGGCAGCAGUAGGGAAUCUUCCGCAAUGGGCGAAAGCCUGACGGAGCAACGCCGCGUGAGUGAUGAAGGUCUUCGGAUCGUAAAACUCUGUUAUUAGGGAAGAACAAAUGUGUAAGUAACUAUGCACGUCUUGACGGUACCUAAUCAGAAAGCCACGGCUAACUACGUG
rnacentral:rRNA from 1 species